GGCUGCUUGGGCGAAGGCCGCCUCCAGCCAGCCGUGCCUACGGACACGUUUCGGCUCCAGUUCUCCCCUCUGGUUUGCCUCCAGCUCUUGCGGACAACAUCAGCCCUCUGGGGACUUGGACUGAUUCUCCAGUUAGCGCAUACCUGUCCCACUCCUGUCUGCAAGAUUUGGAGCCCUGUCUGUGCUUCCAGUUCAGACUUCACCAGCCCUGCAGGGAGGACAAAGGGACCACUGCAGUGCUGGGUACAGAGAGGACACCAGAGCAUCUGAGACAAGACAACCACAGAUUCAUCAGCCUCACCAUUGCUAGAGUUGUAGAGAAAGGCUGCCUACCUGUCCCUUGGACGGGGCUCUGGGGGGCGAAGCCUGGGGAUGCGCUCCAUCUCCUGAGAGAUCACAUACUGGGUGAGGUCAUCGUGCCAGGACAAUCCUGUCAGGAAAGAGGACAGCGUACAGCUAUUGGAGCCAGACCACCUGGGUUUGAAUCCUGCCUUUGCUACUGAUGAAUUAUGUAACCUUGGGCAAGUUGCUGAACCUCUCCAAGCCUCAAUUCCCUCAUCAAUAAAAUGGGGAUUUAUACCUCCUAGGAUUGUUAUUAUCAUUAAAAUAACACAUAUACAUAUCAAACGGUUAGAAUAGUGCCUG
rnacentral:lncRNA from 1 species